GUAUGGGGGGCCCUUAAAUUGGAUCCAAGGUGUCUUGACUCUGAUGUAGUUUAAGUUGACAUCAACUGUCGUUAAAUAAAUGGUGUAGCAUUUUUUAAAAGUUUUAUAAUUCUAUAUAAAUUUUUUAUGCAUCUUAAUAAUAGAGCUGUGAUAUUUUUAUUACUGUUCAUAUUCGUUUCAUACGUAAUAAUUAUAUUUUUAUUAUUAAAUUUUACAAGUAAUUCACGUAAAAUUACACUUUAUUAAAAAAAAUAUUACAACGUUUAAAACAGACCAUUGUUACCGACAAUCGUUUGUUUGUGCUCUUUGUUCUUGAUACGAUACGAGUGACGAGUUGAAGUCUGCUCUCCACUCCGCUCCGGUGGAAGGAAUUAAAAAAAAGAAAACAGUAGUAGGAGAGGCAAGGCGAAAUGGAGACAUGAGAUCAGAGGCGUGGACGUGCAUUGACUUUGUAAACCGAGAAGCGUGGAUAGUUUGGUUUUUUUUUUUUUUUUAAAAAUUUGGUUAUUUGGAAAUCAUUGGAAUACGCUCAACUACUCUACCAUUUCUUCCGUGCUAUUUUGAUAGUCUUUUUUUUUUUCACCUGUUCCAAAUUAUAGUUCAUUUUUCAAUUGAAAAAUGUAGUUAUCUUUUAAUUUCUCUAAAAUAACCUUAUUCAAUAUAGGUUGUUAUUACUAUAAAUUAUCUUAUUUAAUAUAUAUUAUUAUUGAAUAUAAACUACCCUAUUUAAUGUAAAAUGAGAAUUGAUUUUUUCUUGACCAUCAAUUCAAAUUUUCAUAAACCAUCAAUUCAAGUUUUCAUAAAUAAUUAAUAUAAAAUUAUACUUUAUUUAAUGUAAGGGUAUUUUAGAAAAAUAGCAAUAUAAAUUUAUUAUUCUAAUAAAGUUAACGACUUUUUCUUCAAUUAUGUGAAAAAAAUUAAAACUAUCACAAUGGGACAUAGGGAGUAUUAUUUGUGUUUUUAUAUCUAAAAUAAAGUUAUACGCUGGUACUAUGGAAAAUUAUUUGCAGAAUUAUUUUUAUUUGAUACUUGUUGGAAAAGCUAGGAAUGAGAAAUGUUGGAUGAAUAAUGCGUAUGAUAGCGUGUAAGGUUUACAAGCAACAAGUGUCCGUUGUCGUUUUCUUUUGCAAUCAUUUUCUUUUUCACAAUUGCUAUUAAAGAUGCACAAGAUUGCAACCAUAACCAUCUUCCUAGAGAGAGAGAGAGAGAGAGAGAGAGAGAGUUGGCAUCCAGUUUGCCAUCAAUGGCUUUAUUUGGCAAAUGAGUUUUGUUUAUGCUUAAUUAAAAUUUUAUUGUAGUUUACUGUAAAGUUAUAGAAAAAAUUUUUGAAAUGUGUAAAUUUUUAGAAUUUUUUUGAGAUUAUUGUAGUAAAAGUUAUUAAAAAAUUUAGGAUUAAUCUUUCCUAUACUGACAGUGUACAUACUGUCAGCGUUGGAUGAAUGAUAACUGUACAAAAUUUGAAUUUGAAAUUCAACUUUUGCACACAUAUCAUGAAUCAAAUGUUGAUAGUUUAUACACUGUCAAUAUAUAUAAAACUUACUCAAAAACUUUUAAUAGACAAAUUUGACAAAAAUGUUGUGUUUGGAUUGCAUUUUCCGUCAUUUUUCAUGGAAAAAUUACUGUAGCGAUUUGAUAUAUAUAAGGAAAAAAGGUGAUAUGGAAAUGUGAUCACAGAAAACGACAAUAUUUUCCGACGAAAACAAGCAAUCCAAGCAUGGCUACUUGCCAAACAUGAUAUAUUUUCCCAUUCUUUUUGGUGUCACUUUCUGCUGCAAGCUGGGCUUUUAUUUGUUAUAGAGAAAGACAAGCAGUAAUAAUCGAGAGUGCUUUGGACUGGAGAUUAUUUCAAAUAAUUUUUUAAAAAAAUAUAUUAUCAUUUUUUUAAUAUAAUAUAUAUGUAAUGAAAAGAUAAUUAAAAAUAUGAAAGAGUAGUUGAUUAAUAUGUAUUUAUGAUGUAAUCAAAUAAUUUUUUACGAAUAGAAUAGUGGGUUUUCCAAAUAAUUGCUCAUGAUUGGCCCCUGGAAGAUAAGCAGCCGGCCGCACGCCCUUCCACCCCAAUUAUAUGCUAAUCGCGCCCCUUACCCAAGAGUUGGCGGUCACAAAUUGGAUUUAAGAAACAUUUGCAAAAUUUUUGGUACUUUGGUUCUUCAAUCAUAACUCUCAAAAUGCCAAAAACAUGCCACCUUGCUUCGACCCCGACCUCUUCUUUUCUAUGGUGUAGCAUUUCUAUUAAGAAUUUUUGAAAUCGAAAAGAAAAUAUAUUAAAGUUACUGCACUUUAGUACUACCGUAACUGCUGAGUGUUUCUAACCUAACCCUAAUUAUGUGUGUAUCUUCCUCUGUCUAUGAAAAAAAAAAAAUAGUACCACGGUAACCUGUAACAACACCGGCCAAUCACAAGGAUGCCCCGCCUGCUCCCCCGACAGUGCACCAAGCCUAUAUAGGAAUGGGACAUUAGAAAUAUCUUCAUCGUCAUCCGCAUCUCCUACCAUUUGGGCUCCAAUGGCUUCUCUGUCUUCCGUACUCCUCAUCCUCUCCCUCUUUUACAUCCCUGCUCUAAUCAUCGCUGCCUCAUCCGACGGUCGGGAAACCUACAUCGUCCAUGUUGCCAAGGCCCAAAAGCCCUCCGUUUUCCCCACCCACCACCACUGGUACUCUUCCAUCCUCCGCUCUCUCUCCCCCCUUUCCGCUCACCACCCCCCUACCAAGCUCAUCUACACCUAUGACCACGCUGUUCACGGCUUUUCUGCCCGCCUCACCUCCUCCCAGGCUGCAGAGCUCCGCCGUCGCCGCUGCGUCCUCUCCGUUGUCCCCGACAGCGUCCGCCAACUCCACACCACCCGCACCCCUCACUUCCUCGGCCUAGACGACUUCUUCGGCAUCUGGCCCAAUUCUGACUACGCCGAGGACAUCAUCGUAGCUGUCCUCGACACGGGCAUCUGGCCCGAACGUCCUAGCUUCUCUGAUGAAGGCCUUUCUCCUGUUCCUUCAAGCUGGAAAGGUGUAUGUGAGACGGGCCCGGAUUUUCCCCCAACUUCGUGUAACAAAAAAAUUAUAGGCGCUAGAGCUUAUUACAAAGGAUACGAGGCCAAUUUGGGAAUGUCCUUGCAAGAAGCAGGAGAAUCCAAGUCCCCUAGAGAUUCAGAAGGUCAUGGAACGCAUACCGCAUCCACCGCAGCUGGAUCGGUGGUGAAGAACGCCAGCCUCUAUGAAUACGCUCGAGGCGAGGCCAGAGGAAUGGCGAUUAAGGCCAGGGUUGCCGCCUACAAGAUCUGUUGGAGCGCAGGAUGUUUCGAUUCAGAUAUAUUAGCAGCCAUGGAUCAAGCCAUUGACGAUGGAGUUCACGUCAUCUCCCUUUCUGUUGGCGCCAAUGGCUACGCUCCCCAGUAUGAUCAUGAUUCCAUUGCAAUUGGUGCGUUUGGCGCUGCGAAGUACGGGAUCGUGACCUCUUGCUCCGCGGGAAAUUCUGGUCCAGGUCCCUACACUGCCGUGAAUAUCGCGCCGUGGAUUCUUACAGUCGGUGCUUCCACCAUCGAUCGGGAGUUCCCUGCGGAUGUUGUUCUAGGCGAUGGAAGCAUAUACGGCGGCGUGUCGCUGUAUGCCGGCGAGCCCCUGGGGGAUACUCAGCUUCCGCUGGUUUAUGCAGGGGAUUGCGGAAGCAGCUACUGUUAUGAAGGCAGGCUUGAUUCUUCCAAAGUCAAGGGGAAGAUUGUGAUAUGCGACCGCGGUGGUGGAAAUGCCAGAAUGGCCAAAGGAACCGCAGUCAAAUUAGCCGGCGGCGGCGGGAUGAUACUGGCAAACCUUGCAGAUUCCGGGGAAGAGCUCAUCGCGGAUUCGCAUCUAAUUCCGGCUACGAAUGUGGGGCAAAAGGCCGGCGACAAAAUUAAGAGCUACCUCAGGUCUGAACCCUCGCCGACGGCUACCAUUGUUUUUAGAGGAACGGUUAUCGGGAGCUCACCGUCGGCGCCGCGUGUGGCGGCAUUCUCGAGCCGCGGUCCGAAUCAUUUGACGCCGGAGAUUCUAAAGCCAGAUGUGAUUGCGCCCGGGGUGAAUAUCCUAGCUGGUUGGACCGGGUUGGUUGGCCCAUCCCAGUUGGACAUUGACCCGAGAAGGGUGGAGUUCAAUAUUGCAUCGGGGACGUCCAUGUCGUGUCCUCAUGUGAGUGGAUUAGCGGCACUGCUUCGUAAAGCCCAUCCAAAGUGGACUCCGGCGGCUAUUAAAUCGGCUCUAAUGACCACUGCUUACAACGUGGACAACAUCGGAGAGAGCAUUAAGGACCUUGCCACCGGGGAAGAGUCGAACCCGUUUGUUCACGGGUCGGGACACGUGGAUCCCAACAGGGCGCUCAAUCCUGGUUUGGUUUACGACCUGGGAACCAGUGAUUACGUGGCAUUUUUAUGUGCCGUCGGGUACAGUCCGGGGAGGAUAGCAGUGUUUGUGAGGGAUGGGCCUGUUCCGGUGGAUUGCGGUGCCCAGGGGAUGGGUACCCCGGGAGACUUGAAUUAUCCAUCGUUCUCGGUGGUCUUCAGUCCCGGCAACAGCGUGGUUAAGUAUACGAGGGUAGUUAAGAAUGUGGGGAGCAAUGCAGAGGCCGUGUAUGAGGUGAAAGUAAAUGCUCCUCCGUCUGUGGAGGUGACUGUUUCACCGAGUCAGCUGGUAUUCAGCCAAGGGAACGAUACGUUGUCGUAUGAGGUCUCAUUUACGACUGCAAGUGGCAUCCUUGUUGGUGCCCUCAAGCCUGCGUUUGGGUCACUAGAGUGGAGCGAUGGGGAGCACCUUGUGAGAAGCCCAAUUGCAGUUGUUUGGCGUCUGUCUCCAUCUGCGGAAUCCAUGUGAGGUUUCAAAUUGGGGGAAAAGAAAUGAAUACCGGUAAAUCGCUCAGCCGCUGUGCAAUGAGGUUGUUUUAGCUUUUGUAAAGAGUUAGCUGUAAGGAUCAAUCGUGAAGAACAAAUAGCUUUGCCCACGAACGCUUUUUAUAACCGGGAAGCGAGCGGAGUUGACAGAACAAACGCUGCUUAAUGGUAGAGCUUGGUUGUUUCAGAGUAUGUCCGUCCGACAAGAAUUUGCUGUGCUAGAAAGUUCAUUCAUACCUCCCUCCCACCCAUGUUUGGGACUGGGAGGGCCUGAUGCCUGAAUUCCCUCGCAGCGUCCAUGUAUGGAUUUAUUAUUACUACUAGUUAAAUUGGAAUGCUACAUGUUACACGCCGUCCCUGAUAAAGGAAGCGCAUUAGUUUCCGUACCCUUUUCCUUUUCUGAGAGUUCUUGUUGCAUUUUCUUUUCUUCCGCAUAGCCCCAUCAGUUCUAUCUUGCAUUACUAGGAUAUGGUUAGGUUAGGCCAUACGAUCGAUCGGGAUGCAGGAGAGGGUGCAGAUCAAGCGGAGAUAAGAGUAACAUUCUGAGUCACGAAUGUGCAGAAUAUGGCAUGAUGGAUGAGGACUCUUUAGGAGAUGAAAUUCCAGCGGCAUCAAAAGAUCCAGGAGGCAAACAGUAACCAAUUCAUUUCUCUAAGUCACUCAAAACCCUGGUCUACCACGUAAUGAAGAACCUAGAACCUAGAACUGUCCUUAACAACAAAGGAUCGAACGGAAAAGGCGAAACAAAACUAUUCUCACACAGCCAUAAUCAUCAAUCCCUUCCAUUUACUUUUCCAUUAAUCAUUAAUCUGAACCCAUAUGAAAUAUAAUGCAAGACCGCAACGUUGGACUUUUCCAGUAAUAUGGUAUGGUGCUAAGUAUAAGUUACAGGCAGACAAUUUUUUAAACGCAAGUCAUAAUUGUAGUCAGAUGAAGAGUUGUCCCGGUGGAAAAUCGGCCUUAGCUAAUGCUUAAGGUUAGACGCUCCAAUGCGACUUCUUCAACCUGUUACAAUACCCAUAAGAUAUUCUUACAUGAACUCUUUUUUAAACAUAAAAAGAGCUUCAGAACCUACUUGUGCAUUCCAAAACUCGCAGGGCUCAAUUUAAAAGGUCAAAAAAGGAUGAAUCACAGCAUUCUUUAACAAAGCCUUCAAGUUUCCAAAACUUUGCAGAUUUUGCUGUUGUUCAGUUCCCCUGGAUGAGUAUUACAAUCAGAUAAUUCCUUUCCACCAUUGUCUCUCACUGUACCUUCUAGUGACCAUAUUUCUGAAACUCCCACUCGCUAUUGUCUGCAACAGAGACCAAACGUUCAAGUUAUAUAUUUGACCUGCUUGUAAAGGAUAUCAAACAAAGACUGAGCUAAAGCAAAUACCGAGGGGGCAAACUUGACGGGUUUUGAGCCAACGGCUGAUGCAGUGGAAAUGAAAAGCAUGAUUACAUACGCCUACAAACAUAAUCAAGAACAUGAUUAAGAUACCAGAAUUGUAACAAACAGAACUGAUACAACUAUUAUUAACUUUAUCUGCAAAGCUCUUACAAAUACACACAUGCAUUAAGAAAUGAAGAAAAAGAAAAAAGACCAGACUAUGCAAUAUGCAAACUCACUUGUUAGAUAAAACUAAUACAAAAAGAGAAUUCUAAUUUGGGGAGUAGCAAAUAAGACCAUUUAUGUGGCACAAGCAAUAUGCUGCACUGUGUCAAUUAUUCACUUGCAUAUUAGGAAAGCAAGGUAUGGAGAGCUUAUAUAUUCUUCCAUUCCCAAGUGACCCCAGCCCAAACAAUCAGUUACAGGAAAGUAUUAUGCAAGAAACCUUAAUUAUCAAUUUAAUUCCAAGUUACCCAAAAAAAGAGUCUGUUUGCACAAAUACACGAGAUGUGGAAAUUAGAUUUUAUAGGGUUUUCACCGUCAUCAAAAAGUUUGAAACAUCAUAGACUAUUUGUACAAUAUAGUUAUUCUCAGCCUCUUAGUCAUCUUAAACUAGAAAAGGCUAGCUGAUUCUAUAUGCACUAAAGGAAGCAUAAAAGAAAAGAUAGCAAACCAAACAAAGAGGGAAACCGAGUAGAAAAGUUGAAACAUCAAAUUAUCAAAGGUGCCUCAGGUUUUUUUCUCUACCAAAGGUUUCAUAAAAAAAUCAACACAGAGAAGAGCAAGAAUUUGCUUCCCUAAAGAGGAGAUAAAAGAUUAUUUCCAAAACCCAUGUUUGAAAACUUGGAAGAAUGAAAGAUAAUAAACACUUCAGAGAUCCAACCUCAUCUUCCAUGAAGUUUUCUGGAACCUAAGGAUGUCAAUCAAGAAGAGCCAACGAUGAAAUAAAUAUCACAUAGAAUCUCCGAAAAAAAAAGAUAGAAUAAGAACUUAAAUAGAAAGGAGUUCAAUUUUUACAUGGGGUUGAGAGAGAGAAAGAGAGUCAAAAUUAAUACCCAUGGACUACAUUAAAGUGCAGCAGGCUGGCUAAUUCUUCAAUUAAGCAGAUAGUUUUAGCCAUGAGUAUCAGUAUUAGCAUGUUUACCAAUAUGAAGUAAGUUCAGGCCUUAAUAGUAGCAGAUUUAGAGCUAUUAUCUAGGAAUCAAAGUUUCUCUGGCAAACUGCAGUUUGCUAUUGAACGUUCAACAUGGGGAGGUUAUUUCCACAAACUAAAUUUCACCUAAUUAUACUCCUGUCACCGGAUCUCCCUUAGGCCCUAUCAAUUGCACAUAACAGAGAUCAAUUUUUUUUAAUAUUACAUUUUUCUUGAUUAAAUUGCGUGAAAUCAGCUUCAAGAUUUGUAGAUGUACAUCUCAUCCUUUUUCCUCUUCAUCUUCAGAUUCCUCCCCAACAUUAGGAUUCUUUAAUGAAAUUCUCUAAAGCUGAAAAAAGCAAUUACGUAUAUGAAUUCCAGUCACAAGUACAUCAUCAUCCACAGCAGCAAAUGUAAACAAUCAAGAUUUGUUGAAAAACAGUCUACAGCUAAAACAAACAUGUUACAUAAACUAUAUCACCCAUACAUUUGCAGCUAAAGAAGCUAUGCAUCAAAAUCACAUGAGAAACCUUUAAAUUCGAAAUAUCAACAAACAUCUUUGGCAAAUGCUUGUGUUAGGGAUUAGAUUCCGACACAUACCCCACGCAACAGUGCACUCCUCACUUGUGGCGCUAGCUUGAUUGGCCUGACACUCGAUACCUGCAAUCGAAUUUUUGUUAUUUAUAAAUCUUCACAUAAAUUCAUCUUCAGCUCACGAAUACUGAGAAAUGCUUCACAGGAACUCACAUAGAUCCAUGAUAUGAUUCCUGCAGAUGGCACAGUUGUCCACAACAAUAUCUGCACAAAUAAACCCAAGAUUCCAGACCAAAAUUACAUAAUCAUAAAAAUGAAAAAACUAAGCAAAGACCUUCUGAAUUUAGAGAACAACUACUAGACCAGCAUAAGAUGAUUAGUCUUAAUCUACAAACAGAGAAAUUAAAAGGGAAGGACUACUUACCCCAAGCCCAAAGGGCAACAGCAUUCCACUUCUUGAUCUCGAAGCGUUUAGGCUUUUUUGAAGCAGCUGGAGCCGAUGAAGAUCCUUCGCCGGCGGGAACCAUAAUCACGUCGGUGUCCAUUGCCAGGGACGAUUAAUCGUGAUUUUCUAGGGCUUUUGGGUAGUUCUGCGGAAUAUUACAAAACCUUUCUUCUAUAAUUACUAAUAGGGAUAAUUGCAGAAAACUCGUGACAUUUGAACUGACCUCCCCUGUGGUUUGAAAAAUUACACUGACUUCCCCUGAGAUUACUAAUCCUUUGUAAAUUCAGUCCAAACGAUUAAAAUAUUAUUUUAGGGAAUGAAAUUAGAAUUUUUUACCAAAUUUAUCCUUUGUACUACAUGUCCAAUGAAUGACAAAGUACUACAAAUCAAUUAACAAUCAAUAAACUUUAAGGAAUAUAGUUUAUAGGCAAAUACACAUUACCUAUUUAGAGUACUAACUCUUUAUGAGUAUUUUACUUUCAAACAUUUAAUUUAAUAUAAAUAUUUACGCUCAAAUAUAGAUUUAUAUUUACUUUCAAAUAUUUAAUUUUUGUUAAAUAAAAAAACUACCAAUCUUUCUUCCGUAAAAAUAUUAAUAUAACACUUUUUCAAUUUUAGUUACAAACAAUUAUGUAUUUAACAUAAAUUAAAUGAUUCAGAAUAAAAUACCCAUAAAGAGUAAAUACUUUACUCGUGUAAUAGAUGAAAGUCAUAAAGAAUUAAUACUUUAUGGGCUAUUUCUUUUUUUAAUAUUUAAUUUAUAUUAAAUAAAUAACUUACCAAUUUCCUUUUUGCAAGAAUAUUAUUGUAACACUUUUUGAAUUUUACUUACAAACAUUGAUAUAUUUAUCAUAAAUUAAAUGUUUGAAAAUAAAAUACCUGUAAAAAACCUGUACUUUAAAUGAGUAAUGCGUGUUUGUCCAUAAAAAGCUGGUAACUAUUUAAAGUACCGGUUCUUUACGGGUAUUUUACUUUCAAAUAUUUAAUUUAAUACAAAUAUUUACGCUCAAAUACAGAUUUGUAUUUACUUUCAAAUAUUUAAUUUUUAUUAAAUACAAAACCUACCAAUCUCUCUUCCGUAAAAAUAUUAAUAUAACACUUUUUUAAUUUUAGUUACAAAUAUUUAUAUAUUUAACAUAAAUUAAAUGAAUAAAAUGCACAUAAAGAGCGAAUACUUUACUCAUAUAACGGAUGAAAGCCAUAAAAAUUUAAUACUUUAUGAGUCAUUUCUUUUUUUUUAAAUAUUUAAUUUAUAUUAAAUAAAUAACCUAUCUAUUUCUUUUUUGCAAGAAUAUUACUGUAACACUUUUUAAAUUUUACUUACAAAUAUUGAUAUAUUUAUUACAAAUUAAAUAUUUAAAAGUAAAUAUCCGUAAAAAACCGGUAUUUUAAAUUAAUAAUGCGUGUUUGUCUAUAAAUUAUAUACUUCUUAAAAUUUAUUAAUUGUUAAUUGAUUUAUAGUACUUUGUCAUUCAUUGGACAUGUAGCACAAAGGGCAAAUCUAGUACAAAAUUCUAAUUUCACUCCCUAAAUAAUAUUUUAAUUGUUUGGACUAAAUUUGCAAAGGAUUAGUAACCUUAGGGGAGGUCGGUGUAAUUUUUCAAAUCAUAAGAGAGGUCAGUGCAAAUAUUAGAAAUCUCAGGGGAGGUUUCUGCAAUUAUCCGUUAAUAAUAACGUCAAACUCAAAUUAAUUAAUCAUGUUAGCACUCCUGACUUAUCUUAACCACGGGAUAAGGUUAGUACAAGUUGGACAUGUAUUUGGGCCGCACCUACAGCACUUUGGAAGGAGUAAAGGCCCAUGUAAUUCUAUCCAGGAUGGAUGUUAUUUGUCAAGCCUUUAGAGACAGUGACCGAACAUGGGAACUUCUGACCCACUUCUUCAGGUUUUUGUGUCUCUUUGUGACGAUCCAAAUCAGAACUGCCUGUGGUGUGGAUUUAGGUGGGCUUCCAUGGUGACAUUCUGGGAUCUAAAAGCUCUUUCACUGCUGGAGUAUUAUUAAUAUGAAUCCUUUCCUUUUUUUUUUUUUAAAUAUAGAAAUAGAAAUGGCAGUAUGGGUUGACCGUAGGGAUAGAUUGUGGGUGUUAACUUAAGUGCCAUCCAGUCCUUUGUCAUUGUUGCCUGUGGAAUCUUUGUAGUGUACACUGCUCUAAAAGAAAUAACCACUGGCCAAUGGCUCCCUGGCCACCAGGGAGGGACUUAAGUUCCUCUUGAGUUAUUGGUGAGGGUUCAAACCUCACAAGCAGCGAAAAAAAUCUAAAGUUUGUGUCAUAGUACUCCCUUGAUUUAGUUGGGUCUGUAUACUCACUAGCCCCUACAAUAGCCUCCUUGCUGACAAAAAAAAAAAAAAAACAUUGCUCUAAAAGAAAAGAAAUGAAUUAAUGAUACAACUCUAAAAAGGUACCAAUUACUAAUUUGAUUAAAUUCAGGUUGAGUUUUUGAUUGAGUUGCUUGUGAGCAGCUUGCAAGCAAUUUGGUUCAUUUACCCUCUGCUUUUUCUUUUUUUCUUUUUUUUUUUCUGUUUUUGGACAAUUGGACUUUCUUUUCUUUCUUAAAACGUAUAUUCAAAGGGACAUAUGUAGUGGCUUUCUGCCUUUCUGGGAUGUGCCAAGUUGUAAUGUCACAACGCUACCAACAACCUUUUUACAAUUCAAAUUGCGUGACCGGUUGUCAACUGUCAUAUUGAAUGAGUAGCAGGCUAGCUUUGCCUAAACUCUUAAAAUUGGCUAAUCCUUCGUUAUCGCGGCACUCACAUCAAUUAUAGAGUUAAUGCACAUAUACAAGUUGAAGAACGCAGUUGUUUUAUCUUAUGUUUUCAAACUCGGACCGGUAUCGAUUCGGUCGAACUCAUAAGUCAGGGGUUAAUGGAUUCAAUGGGAUUCGAUCGGGAUUGAAUCGGAUGACGUUAUAAAUAAAAAUUAUUUAAAUUUUAAAAUGUUAUAUGUAAAAUACUUAAGAGCAUGUUAAUAUUAAUAAAGAUAUAUUCAUAUAUAUAUUUAACAAGAAAAUACAAAGAAAUUAGAAUGAUUAAGUAGCAAUUUAUAUUAUUUAAUGAACAUUAGCAAGUUUAUAAUUAAAAUAAUAGACUUGAUUGAAAAAUAACAUCAAAUUUUAGGACAACAUUUAUAAAGUAUGAAAUAUUUGAGGUAUAUUAAUAAUUUUUAACAACUUAGGGGUCAAAACAAAAUAUUGAAAAAAUUUUACCUUUAAAAAAAAAAGGGCUUUGACCCCAACGCUUCUUCUGGUUUUCCGGUCAAAUCCGAUUUUUUGAUCGAAUUUGACCGAGUUUUUAUCCACAUGAUCUUUUAGAAUAAUUUGGACCGGACACUUGACCGAUUUUUAGAUUUGAUCGGUCGGACGGCCCCAUCCGGUCCAAGUUAAAAAACAUAGAUUUUAUCCGACCGAUCCAAGUUUAUAAACACAGGUUUUACUAGAUGAGAUGUCACCAAUAAGAAAUGAAAAUCAACUCAAUUCACUCAUGUUAUACCCAUCUUCACAUUGAAAUCAAAUUUUCACAUCAUCAAUCUGUACUUUUUCCUCGGAUAAGCGAACUUCCUGGUGGCUUCCUUGAGGAAGGCAGCUUGAAUAAUAAAGGUCAAGAAGAAGGGGAAAAAAGAUACUCCAUGAAACGCUAAUAAGCUACAAGAAGUUGUUAUAGUAUUUUAAUCCUCUGGCUAAGAUCCGCUUGACAAUAAUAUGAGGCGCAAAAGUUGUUGUAUGGGUACAGCCGAACAAGAAAAGAUUUCAUGAUAUCAUCAUAUCCUCACUCAACAUGCCCUAUUUUAGAGCCCAUAAUACGACAGACUCGUUUCUCUCCAAAUAGUAGUAGUAGUAUGCCAAUUUUGCUCCAUGCCGUUCGAAAAUGAAAUGUACUGAUUCAAUAUAAAAAGCCAACCAGCACAGGGCAGUGUUAAUGAGUACAACAAGAAAAUUCGAAAAUCAGGAUUAGUCAUAUGAAGAGACAUAUAUAUAUGUUCCAAAAUUAAAGCCGGAGCAAGAGUUAAGGACGUAAGUAAUCCCAUAAUUAAAAUAAUAAUAAUAAUAAUACUAUACUCCAUCUUAUUAUUAUUACAUUGGAAAUAUUUAUCCACUAAUUCGUGCCGAUCACAAAAUCUCACCACCAUGACGAUUUUUUUUUUUCCCUUCUUAAAAUAAAAGAAGGUGUCUUGUUGUAUAGUCUAAUAAAGACGAAAAGAAAAGAUGCUUUGAGGCACGGUCAACUCCUUUCUCAUUUAUUACCUUCCCUCAUGGGCCUCGUCUCCUGGGACACUUGGCGCAAUACUAUAGGUGGCAUUGGAUUGACAUAGAAAAAUAUGUCACCGAGGAUUCCAAGUGCCCAGCACUUCGGAUCCUCGGUGACAUGUUUUCUAUGCCAAUCCAAUGUCACCUAUAAUAUUGUGCCAAGUGUCAUGUUAUUAUUUACACUUGUGUUAAACCAAACCAAGUUGAAUUAUUAAAAAAUUAAAGUAUAAAUAAUAAUGGGACACUUGGCGCAAUACUAUAGGUGGCAUUGGAUUGACAUAGAAAAAUAUGUCACCGAGGAUUCCAAGUGAUCUCCCCGGGCCCUAGUCCCUAGUCCCUAGUUCCCCAUUCCCCCCUCCAUACAAAUUAGGCAUUAGUAAUUACUGCUAGAUUUCAAUAACACCCAUACUGCUGCUACCUACCAAUUGUAAUGGCCCAAGUUUCCAAAGCCGAAACUGCCCCAUUCACUCCCACCAAAAUGACCCCCGUGCAUUCCUCCUCCGCCCACUUCCGGUGGACGACAGGCCGAUGGCGACUGUCAUUCCGGAGGAGGACGAAGCUGCCCACCGUCCGACUAGGAGGAGCUGGUGGGAAGAAGCCCCGCAGGAGAUUCUUUCUGGUGAGGCUCUGGAGACGUGUGAAGUUGAGGGCGCUGAAGCACAAGUAUAUUUGCAUGGUGAAGAAGCUCAAGGAUUAUUAUGGUGGUUUAGUGAAGGAGCUGAUGGAAGCAGGAGGUGCGAUGGAGCCUUUCCAGCAGAGAAUCCUGAUAGAGACUUCAUUUGCUGUUCCCGUCAUGGGUCUGUCCUUCAACAGCUUCCCCAACAACUAUGCCUUAGACCACCACCGCUCAGUUUCAACCCAUCCGCCUCAUCAUCUUCUUCAUCAUCAUGUAUAAAUUCAUACCAUUUUCGGGUUCAGUUUCCGUGAUCAUGUAAUAAGUUCCAGUUGCCGAUCUCAACCUCUUACUUUUAGCUGCUCCGUCUUCCUUUUCUAAAUUUCUUUCUUCUUUUAAGGGGAAAAAAAAAAAGAAGAAAAGAAAAAUCUUUUUUUUUUUUUUUCAAAACAAAAUUUCGCCCGACAGACAAGUAUGAUGAUAAUCGAUCACACACUAACAAUGCGAACUAAGAAACCGGGAGAGGUUUCAUCAUGCUACUCUGGUUGAACUCCUAGAUUGAUCACAAGGUUCGUGCCGGUUUUUGGAAUACUUUUCCUGAAAUGUUAUAGCGCUUUUAGCCUUUUGUUAUAAACAUUUCUAAACUACCCUGCGUAUAAUUAUGUUACACACUUAAAUUCUAAAUUGUAAUUAUCACCUGUUGCAUCGACCAUUUGUUUGCAUGAAAGAAAUAAUUAUUUAAGGAGUUUUUAUUGAAAAAUGUACGAAUCAUCCAUCAUCGUAGGUCUCACAAGUUUUAGUUCAAAUUAAUUAAUCGAGAACAAAAUGAUUACUGUUUUUUAUAUAUUUUUUAUUCCACACUGUUACUUAUUUACACCCCGUGAAUAUCAUCAUGUCUCUGCUUAUCUACGCUUCAGGAGUCAGCAAACUGGUUUGAAGUUUGAACUAGAUAACAAAUGAAGAUGCGCAUGUUCACGAAUUUAAUAUUUUUAUUAAAUGGACAUAAUAAUAAGUGGGUGGUUUUUAUAUUUUUAACUGCUUGAGAAGUACUGUACUUUUAGCGGGAGCAAUAGGUCUGUGGAAUAGUUGCUGCAGUGAUCGAACGUAGCUGGACAGGCAGAUGGGCUGUCAUUGACACUUGAGGCAUGAGGGUUUUGUUUUAUUCUUGACAAAGUACAAUCUACGAAGUUUGGCUGCCGCAACGCUCAAUUCAUUAUUGCAAUGCAACACAUAUUAUUGUCAAAAAAGAAAAGAAUGGAUACUCUUUGAGUUGGCUCGCUUGUGAAGGUUGAUAUCCCGCGUCAGGGUUGGGGGUUUGGGUGGUUAGUAUAUUAGUUUCCUGUGAGAUCUUCAAAAGUUGUCGGUUUUUGAGGGUUCUUACGGAGUUAAGGUUAGGAAAAAAAACGUCCAAAAAUCUGUUGAUUUUGACAAAAAAGACAUCAGUCUCAGUUAUUGGGGGGUAUGGGGUCUCCUUAGGUCUGGCAGACUCCCUUGUGGAGGUUGAUAUCCCACAUCGGAGUUGGAAGGGUUUGAGUGGUUAGUAUAUUAGUUUCCUGUGAGACCUUCAAAAGUUGCCGAUUUUCAAGGGUUCUCACGGAGUUAAAAUUAGUAAAAAAGCGUCCAAAAAUCUACUGACUUUGACAAAAAAAAAAAAAGAUACUCUUUGAAUUGAGUUGAGUCGAGUUGAGUUGGACUCACAUGGAGACCAAUACCCGAAUACCGCACCAUAACAAAAUAUGGUCCAGCUGUAUGCGUAAUUGGUAUUUUGUACAGUACUGCUCAACGAAUGGAAAGUGAUCGAGCGACGCUUGAAGUCUUGCUUUUAUCUCAAGAAACAACAAACAGUUGCCCUGCAUGGCAAUUGGUACAGUUAGUAUAUAUCGCACUGUACUCUCACAGGACAAACGAGUAAUGGACAUUGGACAACGACACGACAUCCUCUCAUGGGUCAUCUAUUAUCGAUCUAUAGAUGCUAUCAUCUUCAUCGGCCGGCCAAUAAACUAAGAUUGCGUUUGAAUUGCAUUUUUCAUGAUUUUUCAUAGAAAAAUUACUGUAACGAUUUAAUAUAUGUGAGAAAAAAAAGAUAAUAGGGAAAUGUGAUCACGAAAAACAACGUAAUUUUCCGACGAAAACUGCAAUCGAAACAAGGCCUUUUGUUCUUCAUUUCCGCAAACAAAGAGAGGCGAGAACAUCUCAUAACACUGUAUAACUCAUCUUAAUUAGCAUCCUCUGAUCAAGUUAGAACUCGAAAAUGUCAACAGCAUUUCUUGAACAUCAGCCUCUCUUUUAUCGAAUGAAACCAUAGCACUCCAACCCCACCACCACCCCUAGGAAAAUGGAAAGAUUCUUAGAUGACGAUGCAUUAAGAAACUAUUGCCCCGAAUGCAUCCCUUUCGAAUCUGCCCGUUUUUCGUUGCAAUCAAAAAAUUCAUCAUAAUGCGCUUGUUGUUGGCCCUUUCCGGCGGCAAUAAUUUGUAUGUUCAGGUAGAGUUGUUUUGGGGCAGAAAGACACCUUUUAUUGGCGGAGGGUGCAGGGGUCUUAAUUAACUUCUCAUUGUUUAAGGACUUGGUAGUUAGAGGAGAUCUGAAAUGAUUGUACAAAUUUUAGAUCCUGAUACGGCAAUUGAUAUGUGCAUAAACUUUACGGGAACCCGACAGACGGUAGACGAUUGUCAAUGUUUAAUUGUUUUUUUUUUAGGCAAUUUUUCAAUGUUUAAUUGGACUCCACGUCUACACCAUCAUUCAUUUUCUUAUAAACCUGCUAUCGCUUCAAAAAUCACCCGAUGAUUAUCUAAACCUUUACUAAUUUCACACGGGUUACAUCUUUCUUUACAUUCGUUUGGAUAACAAACGGUAGCUUUCAUUGAGUAUGGAAAUUAGAACUCAUUCCCCUUUUGUUAAUAUUAGCAUCAAAUUGACAACGACCUAAUCCGUCAAAUUCAUCCUCAUUGUCAUGAAAUUGCUCAGAUAUUUCCAUCCAAUAACUUUGAAUUAUUUUUUACAAAAAGCCCCUUUAUGCUCAUAAUUAAUCAUACCUUUUGACUCCAUGUACUAAGCACAUUCAAGAUUAGUUAGAAAUGUUUUGACUCCAUUUACUAAUUGUUUGGAUAGAGCUUUAUUCCAAAUAAUUAUUUGAAAUAAUUACUGUAGCAUUUUUUGUGAUGUGAUGUAUGUGAGAUAAAAAGGUGGUUGAGAAUAUAAAAAGGUGAACUGAGAAAUGUGUUUAUGAUACAAGUGAAACAUUUUUUUGGAAAAUUUUGCCAUCCAGACAUAGCCCUCGAAUAUAUUAUUUAUUUAAACCAAAAAAUAAUUUUCAUUUUCCUUUGCCAAAUUAAAUAUAACUAGUGUUAAGACCACAAUCAAUAUAAUUAGUGAAAAGUUGGGCUGACAACAAAAUGAAAAAAGUGUAAAAUUGGCUAUCAAACAAAUGCUCAAAUGUUGUCUAUUCAAACGGAUUUUUACGUACAACUUCUAGUAAUCGUGAGCUACAUCACAUAAUUUUUAGUUUAGUAUAAUUCAAAAAAAAAAAUUUGCUGCAUUUAGUUGUAAACCAAAAAGCCCUGAUCCGUUAAGCGUAGAGUCUUGUAUCUUCUCCGCCUCUCUGAUGCCUUGUGAGUAGAAGUGUCAAAAUGGGUGACUUGGGCGGGUUUGGGUUGGGUAAAAUGAGUAAUGGGUAUAACUGAGUCAACUCAUUCAUACCUAUUUAAUUAGAUGGGAAUAAAUGAGUAAGUCAAAAAAUGAAUUGGAUAACUCAAUUACCCAUUUAUAACCCAUUUAUUUUAACUUUUUGUAAACUCAUUUAAAUUCAUUUUUGCAAACUAAGUUAUCAAUUUAUACUACUCUUUGUACCCAUCAUUAGUUUUAAAUAUUUAUUUAUAAUGUUCAAUAAACUUAAUUAUCAAUUUUUUUUCAUUUAUACUCUGUGUCACAAAAUUACCUAUUAUUUAAUAAUUGAAUAAUAAGAAUAUAAAAAUUUGAACUAAGUACUAUAAAAAUUAAUAUAAAAACUUAAUCCAAAAAUUUUGAACCCCUAACAUUUUUUUCAUAUAUAAAUUUAAAAUUUCAUUUUAGAAAGAUAAGAAAAUAGGCUAAAAUUUAUCAUAAAUUAGUAAUGCUGAAAAAUGAGUAAGUUAACAAACUAAGAGAAAAUAAAAUAAUAAGAUAAAACCAACAAAUAAUAAUAAUAAUAAUAAUGAAACAAAAGUAGUUAACAUCAUGACAAAAUAAAUAAUUUGAAAAAAAAAAUGGGUGGGGGAAAAGAAGAGACUUGGGGGGAAGAGAAUUGUAAAUGGGUUAAUUGGGUUUGAUGGGUUACCCAAUAAUACCUAUUUAUUAAAUGGGUAUUAUUGGGUAACCCAUUUAUACCCAUAUACAAAAAUUUAAGAUACCCAUACCCAUCUAUUCAUGGGCGGGUAUGGGUAAAUUUAAUUAAGUGGGUUGAUUUGCCACCUCUACUUGUGAGUAGGGCUGCAAACGAGUCGAGUCGAGUCGAGUUUUGAACUAAUCGAGCCGAGUCUCGACUAAAUUUUACCAAAAUCGAGCUUGACGAGCCAGCAAUUUUCGAGCUCGAGCUCGAGCUCGAAAAAAUAAAAAAAAAUAAAUAUUUUAUUUUUAAAAAAAUAAAUAAAAAUAAUAUUUUUUUCUUAAUAAAUAAUAAAAUAUUAAGAAUAUAUACGUAAUUUUACUAUAAAAAUAAAAAAUAAAAAAAUAUAAUAUACAUAAUUUGAUUAUUAAAUAAAAAAAAAUAUAUAUAUAUACUCAAACUCGCGAGCUGACUCGCGAGCUAACGAGCUUAAUAUUUUGAACUCGAAUUUGACUCGAGUCGCUCGCGACUCAAUCCGUUUGCAGCCCUACUUGUGAGUUCUUUUUGCCCGUUGCUUCUAAAUUACACCCAUGUCCUGACGCCCAAAACAACACAGCCUGUUUAAGUUAGUUAGACAGGUGGGUGAUUGUUGUUUGGGCCUGUUUUCUUCUAAAUAGGAAACUCGACGAGAAAAUUCACAUCUGUUGUUGUAGUUUAGCACAAAUCAAUUGUGACUGCUAGUCGAAGGCCUGUGUGGAUAGGUCCAACCCGAGCCCAAAUAUACAAACAGGAAUUAUCGAGGCAGAAUUGCGGAUGCAAAAUUGCAAACACGUCACAUGGCCGCGCCCUCUCCCCUGCCCAAGUGUUCCCCACGGCCCCCACAAUGUGUCCACGAGAGCUAAUAAAAUAAAUGUGUGAUUAAUAAAAAAAUAUAAUUAAUAAUUUAAUAUAAAUAUAUUAGUAUAACUGAUCAAUAAUUUUUAUUAUUAUAAAUAUAUAAUUAUUAGUAUAACUAAUAAUAGUAAUUAUAUUACAUAUACAUAAUCUGAUACUUAUAAGUCACUCCUAUAACUAAAAAUAUUAAAUAUUUACAUUUAUAUUUAGGCGGGUGACAGAGCCUUGCCCCAUUUUUCAACUAGGGAGAAAAUGACCUCCCACUACGUCUCAUUCCCACCCCAUCAAUUCUUCGUGAGUACCCACUCCAACUAUCAUCCUGUGGAUGAAAAGAAUAUAUUUAGCGCCCUUUGUUUUUUUUUUUUUUUGGUGAAACUAUGUCCUUAAUCAAUCUACAUCAUGAGAUAUUUUUCACCAUUAACAAAGUCCCUAUUCGUUAAUCGAACUCAAAAAUAAUCUAUGCAUAUUCACAAAAUAUUUUUCUUCUUUGCUAGAAAUUUUUUUGUGUUUUGGAUAAAGUAUUAUUUGAAAUAAUUACUGUAACACUUGUUGUGAUAUGUGAGAUAAAAAAUAGUUUGGAAUAUAAAAAAAUUAGAUUGAAAAAUGUGUUUAUGAUGCAAGCAAAAUAUUAUUUGAGAUAAAUUUGUAAUCCAAACACGCUCGAUCGAUCAAACUCUCCUAUGAAAUCAACCACAAUCAACAAUUUAUACACCGAUGCGUUAAUUAAAAUCUUCUCACGUGUAAACUAAUACAUGCACAUAUGAAUAUAUGAUGCCAUUAAGUCAUGCACAUUUUCAUAGAAUUCAACUUUCCCAUUCGGCCAUGUCACAUUUGCCAUUGUAUUCCCCUUGAAAAUCUUAACUACAUCCUCGCAGUCUAUAGAUUCAUACGCGUUCGACUAACUUUAAGCAAACCCGCGGCAAAGCAGACAAGUUCAAACGUUACAAACGACUAACGACGAAGAAGUAAGAACGAGGCCGAAUAUAAACAUGCUUAAAUGCUACUACUACGCAGUAAAGUUUUGUGUAUUCUCAAUUUUUUUUUUGUUUUUCAUUUCUUCGAUAGUGAUCAAAUGAUUUUUUUUUUUUUAAUCUUCUUCUUAUAAAUAUCGGUUUGGGUUUGUUCAUGACUUUGUUCGACCGCUGAAUACUAACAAUUUUUACUUUUUUGUGUGUGGAGGAUCGGGGAACAACGUGGCUUUUUCAUCAUCCCAAAUCCACAAGCAAUUAAUUCAACUUACUGCUGGACAUUCCGAGUUAACAUCACAAGACUUCCGAUGCCAGUUACCUUUCAAUACCAACACAACGGUGAAAACACUGAGGAGAAGAUUGGAAAAAAAAAAUCAAUAUUUUCUGAUCAAUAUGGAGUCGUACUAACACCAUUUUCAAAUUAAAAAAAAAAAAAAACAAAGAAGCAUACUGAAAUGUUGACUACAUAAAUCCAGAGAGCCCUCACGUAGGUUGGCUCAGAUUUUAAGAACUCACGGGCUAACAAAAUAAACUCAGAUGCGAUCAUUACUGUUUUCGCUUGGGAAUUGAAAUUUCACGUGUUAGAUGUGAGAUCCAACACAAAAAAAUGGUCCGACCGAAGUGAAAGAUGAAAAAGUUGAAAACGAUCACUAAUUUAAUUGGUUCAAUUCAUUUGGGUCCCUACCGAAUGAUAUUUUUGUUGACAUGGCUCCCAACAGGUCCGGCCAUUAACACGUGUAUAUCGUAUUUCUGGCUGAAAUAAAUGAAUAAUUCAUCAAAAGAGAGAUUGGCCCCAAGAAACUAAAAAUGAUCGCAGCAUGGUGGGGCCUUGCAUGAUUACGGAGCUCUUGUUUUGUAGCAGCGAGUUUCUGUCUUGUGAGUUGUGGCUUGUGAUUGCGGGCGGAAAGAACACUAGAUUUGGUCAAUGGUUUUAACUUUUACCCACAGUUAUAUUAAAAUCCGUCAGCAGAAAUUGUCGAUAGUUUGGGUUUUUUUUUUCUUCUUCUGAUGAAUUUCCUAUAUUCUUCUCGGGGACGAUGGUAUGCCGCCAAGUGCCUAUGCCCAUCCAAAAAGCGAACAUGUUUUUUUUUUUUUUUUUUCCCAAACGGUAACAUUAAUUGUAUUAAGCAUCAACAAGUACAAAGUCAGAGCAACUGCUCCGGUAAAUCUGCCUGAACUAAUUCAAGCAGCCACGCUGAAAAGCUAAGCUUCCAUUCAGCUACAUCAAUCAGAGUUAUAGCAAACUUUGGUAAAUAGUGACUUACAUAGUUGUUGCUCCUUCUAGUAUAGGAAAAACAACAUUGGUCAAAUUCUUUCAUCAUCCUCCAAAUAUCCAACUGAAUAAUGGCUAUGCUGACUUCCUCUUCCCUUGCAUUGAUUUUGUCUACCACGUGCUUACAGUCUGAUUCCAGUUCCGCGUUCCUCCAACCCAUUUGUUUAGCUAGUACCAUAGCUUCUCGUAUUGCCAGAGCUUCCUCCACCUGUACCUCAGCACAACCUUCAGUUGGUCUCGCCCAUGCACCUGCCAAUUCCCCUGAGCUGUUCCUGGCCGCUAUACCCCACCCUGCCUUGUUGAGUUUUUGGUCCAGCCCGCUUGCGGUGUAUCCCAUCUCCUACCCUUUUCCUGCUCUCCAGCCACCAGGUUGUCAUGUUUUGCUCCCCCCCCCCCCCCUUGUGCCAGAUGAAAUUCAUUCCAUUCCAUCAGGGCUUUGUUAAUCACCACCAUUGGCUCGCUGCUCCUGUUAUUGAACUGCUUCUAAAAGCGAACAUGUUAAGAAGAUCCAAAUUUCGUGCUCCUGCAGGUCCAUCCAGUACGGAAAUGUUAGCUAAAGUUGAUGCGCAUUUUAGUCCAUUCUAGUGGCUGAAACACGACACGCUGAUUUGAUAUGUAAUAUUCCGUCUCACAUUAAAAAGUCAAAUGCCGUGAAACAAAUGUAUGUGUUGUGUCUAAACACUCAACUCGUAUUAUUUAGAAUAUCCAUUUUGGUCUAACGAUGACAGAAUUUAAAUACUUUGUUGAAACUGCGAUCGCGUCUUGGACAUGCAGGUCCCAGGCUUGACCCGUUCUCGAAAUUGGGUCAACUAAAUGCAGGAAUACUCCCUCCUUACGGAGAUUAUGGUUUUGUCAAUUGGUUGGCAGUCGCGCGGCCCAAACACGGGCAACUUCGUGCCUGAGAAGAAAUAGACUCAAAUAGUACUUACGUACUAUGAUGGUCAAUUGAAUUGAACAUCCCCGUUUAUUCUGACGACGAGGUUACACAAAAGAUAAAAUGACAGAUAUCAAAUGGGAGACCAUUUACUUACACUCCAUCGCCUCAAACCAAACCAUUCGACCCAUACCUGCCCCAAAACAAAGCCUAGCCGAUUACUGACCGACGCAACGCAAGUGCGUGUACGUGGAGAAAGUGAAUUGUUCUAAUAGUCAGCGUUUUGACUUGUCAAAACUCUAACAUGGGAAUGCAUUGCAUUGCAUUGUGUGACACGAUACUGGACGGAAGGAAUUCGGGUCAAAAUGACGAACAGUUUGCUGAUCCUUCUGCGGUCCGACUGUUGACCCCCUAAACCUAAACACUAAUAAGAAUUUCAAGGAAAUUCAAUGGUCCGAGCAAAAGGGGCAUCCUCCGGUCUCGGCUGCUCUCGACCUCAUUGGCAGGACCUCACCAAUAACAAAGGGGGAGAGAGAGAGAGAGAGAGAGGAAAAUUAAAAAAAAAAAAAAAAAGAAGAAGAAGAAAAGAAGAAGUCGUACUGCUAUUUAUUUCUACAAGUAACCCUUUAAGGUCAAAAUUAGAAUUUCAUUGUUCGACAGGUCCAGUUUCACUAUGGCUAAUUGUCUACUGGUAGUCUCUUUCUUUUUCUUUCUCGCUGCAUGCAGCAGCUUUACUUUUCUCAUUAGCAGCGGGUUCAAACGUCAAACCCUGCCAGAGAAAAUACGCUGAUUUUUUUUUUUUUUUUUUUGUGGGGGGGGUUCCUGGUAUACCUAAUAGCUGUCUAUUUCUUUCCUCCAUGGUUUCGUAUUUGUAGCAUCUUGUUACGUACGUUCUGGGCAAGAAAAUGGGUUCGAACUAUUCUUCUCAUACUACGUUAAUGAGAUGUGGCUCUGGGGACAUAGUACGGCACUCCUCCUCUUUAUCAAGUAUUAACUAAAAAUCGGAGGAUCAAUAAUGUAUCCAUCAGCAAACAUUAAGCUUAGCAAAGCAUGAAGCCCACCUCCUCCAAACCAUGCUGUAAUCUACACAUGCCAUUACCUUCCUAAUAUAAUAUACUAUGAUAACCUCAUCAUCGUCAUCUGAUCUACGCAGUUUGUUGAUUUUAGUAAUUCGUACUGUCAAGACAGAAAGCAGUAUACAAUAUUGGGUUUGGUAGACUCAUCCAAAUCCUACCACAAAAAUAUACAAAGGAUAUAAAGAAAAAGUGAGAAUGAAGGAACCUUAAAGAGAGAGCUCGCGUAUCCGUUUAUCUAUAUGUAUUUCACUAAAAGGCACAAUCCUUAUUCCUUAGGAAGUUGGAUUGCAUUUUCUAGGAUUUUUUUUUUUAAAAAAAAAUUAUUAUAAUAUUUUGAUGUAUGUGAGAAAAAAAAUAAUACGAAAAUAUGAACAUAAAAAACGAUGCAAUUUUCCGGCGAAAAAACGUCUGUCCAAACAAGGCUAAAGGACCUUUUCAAAAGCGUGAACUAAGAAACCAUUGACGGACCAAACUCCCAAGCCUUGUGAGCAGCCACCAACCAACCGCAUGGAAUGGACUGGUCACUGGAGAUAAUGGUUGAAUUGAAGCUGCCAAACUUGCAGGACAGGAGUGAUAAUUGGUCAAUUCCUCUCCUCCCACAGAUCUUUUUUUUUUUUAAAUUUAUUUAAAGAGCAGAAUUUAACAGGCGUUAAUACCCGUCAGCCCAAACGUUUCUUGGAACUUUCAAACUUUUCUUGAAGCAUUUAAAAAUGAAAUUUUUUUUUUUGAAAAGUGUCUUUUGCCAUUUGUCGCCUCAUCUUUCCCUCGAAUGACAAGUUCGUCCCAGUUUUCACUCGGUCCGCUAGACGAAAUUAUUCUUUUCCCGAGAAAGGCAAGAAUCAAUCGCCUCGCAAUAGGUAUGAUAAUUGAUUGUUAGCUCUGGAAUAAUUUACACUGAAGAGUAAGGGUAAAGAAUCCUCCUCUCAGUUAUUUAGUAGUUAAAAUCAUACUAGAAUAUCGAACCAUUAUAACACAAGAUAAUACAUGUAGGUGUGUAAUAUGAGUAUUUAUUAACUAGGGUAAAAAGUUGAAGGCCAGAGUCCUCAAAUAUUACUUACAGAACACAAUUAAAAAGAUUAUUGCGUCCUUUGUUUUCUGAACAAGGUAAGUUAAAUGCAAGCAGCACACAAAUGUCAGAACCAGUAAUAGUAGGGAAUAAGGAUCCCUAAAUAAUAAAAAAAAAAACAAAAGGAAAAGAAUAGAUGAUUCUCCACUUUUCAUCCCCACUCUAGCAGUGCCUUAUGAUUCAUCGCAGCUUGCCUUGUAAUCUUCAAAUUAAAAAAAAAAAAACAGCACUUACAACUCUAUAUAAAAUAAAGGAAAUUGAACAAAUUCAUAUCAACGGGUUUUAUCAAUUAAAAUGCACUAGUCGUCUUAACCAUGCAGUUCAAUUAUUGGUGAAUAGAUUGUAUAAUUGAACAGCUGAGUUAAAGCGCGCAAUUUAUCUCGGCACUGAUUUUUAUAAAUUAAUGCUCAAUUUCAUUCAAAUUGAUAACAAUAUUAUAAGGGAAUGUCUUUUUUAUUUUUAGAAAGGAUAAUAAAUUGGUUGAGAAAAAUUUCACUGGCAAGACUUAAAUUUGGAUAGAUUUAGUCUUUUUUUUUUUUUUUGUUUCAAUGAUAGAUGCAUGUUCAAAAUAUCUAAUAGCCUAGAUUAUGUCAUACCACUUAUUAAGAAGACGACAGUGAUAGAUCCGGCCUUCAAAAUAUCCAAUAAUAAUCUAGGUGUGUGUGGCACAAUCCAAAUGAGGCAUUGAUAAAUAUGAUUUGAUUGGGAAAUGAAUUUAAAAAGUACGAUAGAGACAUCCAAAUAAAGACUCCACAAGCUGUGGCGACAAAAUGAGUGCGAGGUUUAUGCAACCUUUUAAACCCACAGGUACAUGAUUGGUAUUUUAGGACAGCAGAAGGACAAUUAUGUCUACUAAAAUAUCUCCGACUUUCUGUUUAGUUUCCGCGCCGCGUCGUCUUUUCCCCGGGGAAAACUUGAAACUCGUCUUUGACCUGGCAGCCGGAGAAAUUAAAAGCCAUAUGAAAAAUCGUGGCCCAAGCAAACUAUGCGCAACUAAAAGUGCUCCACCCCCCCGCCCCCAGCUAGUCACAAGAAUAUCAUUGAAAACGUGUGGACGGCGAGAUCUUAUUCAUUUAUUUUGCAACAUAUUUUAUGUUCAUCCACCACACUAUGUAAGUAUGUAUAUAUAACUAUCCACAUGCCUUUUAACUGAUCACAACAGUUCUUCUUCAUUUCAUUAGUUACCCCUGUAUCUCCUCACUGCUUUCCUCCGGACCCAAAAAGCUGCAAUUUCAACAGAGAUAUUAAGAGAAAAAAAAAAUAAGGGAACUAAGAUGGCAGUGGCUAAACAAUUUUUGGGUACGUCUCUAUCGGAGAAAUCCCAAUUUAUCAAUUCAUUUAAGGUGGUCUUGGUUGAUCAGAAAUCGGGCCAGUUUUCUUCUUCCCAUCCAACUCAGGUUAAACCUGCUGAAAGAAGAAGCCUGCAAAUAAGGAAAGCAAGGAGGACCAGUACUGGUAGUAGUCCGGUAGCAGCUAUCAGUGAGAAGAAUUUGGUGAAGGUUGUACCAGAAAAGGCAGUACAAUUCAAGGUGAGAGCUGUUGUUACUGUUAGGAACAAGCACAAAGAAGACUUGAAGGAGUCAAUUGUGAAGCAGUUGGAUGCUCUGACUGACAAACUUGGAAGAAAUGUGGUGCUAGAGCUUGUUAGUACAGAAAUUGAUCCUAGUAAGCCAUUAUUUCCUUCUUUUCUUGAACCCAAAUAAAACUUUUUGCUCCAAAGUUUACUGCUUAAGAGUCAACAUUGAUCUUGAGAAUAUGUUUUGAUUUGGCCUUCUAAUUUUUUCCCCCAUCUCUCUCUCUCUCUCUCUCUCUUUCUUUUUGUGGGUCUGGCAUUGAUGAAGAUACAAAAGCUCCAAAGAAAAGCAAGCAAGCGGUGUUAAAGGACUGGUCUAAGAAAUCAAAUCUUAAGACACAGAGAGUAAAUUACACAGCUGAAUUUGUUGUAGACUCCAAUUUUGGGGUGCCAGGGGCGAUCACAGUGGCUAACAAGCACCAACAAGAGUUCUUCUUGGAGAGCAUGACCAUUGAAGGCUUUGCAUGUGGUCCAGUACAUUUCUCUUGCAACUCUUGGGUGCAAUCCAAUAAACAUCAUCCUGGAAAGAGGGUAUUCUUCUCUAAUCAGGUAUAAAGGCGUUUGUUAGUAAUCAUCUUUCUGCGUUCACUAUGAUAUUCUGUUUUCACAAGACGGCAUUAUCACUCUUCCUUCUUCGCUAGUCAAAAUCUUCACCAUACUACUUUUUGGUCUGGUCCAACCUGAAGUCGGCCACUUGGGUUCAUACUUGUUGAAUUGAACCCUUCUUCUGCGAUAAAGAGUUGAAUGAAGGAGCAUUUAUGCAUUCUUCUUUUGGAGCAUGUUUUCCCCUUCUAAAUUCUCUUUCUUGAAGCAAUUAUUCCCCAAAGUUUUUGUUUUUAUUUUUCCAUCUUUUUUUUUUUAAUUGAAAAGAAAGGCCAAACACUUAUAUGGAAAAUAAAAAUGCCAUGUUCUUUCUCUUCCCAAGAAAAGUAGAAAAGGAGAGGAAACCCAUGCUUAAAAAAUUUUGACUUCAGUCUUUCUAUACUCUUCAAACUUACAUUUCUUUUUUCUUUUUUUUUUUUUAACUUGCUGGAUUUUUGCAUGGAGGUGAUAAAAAAGUCUGUCGGCAGAUAUUCCAACCACUUAUUUCGAACUUCAUCCAUCUUCCCUUUGUAAUCGAGAUAGGCAAUUCUUAAGAUAAUGAUCUGGAUGUACCCGGGGGCCUGUUCUUGAUAAAGUAGAAUCCUGACUUGCUUUCCAAUUCUUGCCUUCUUGGUGCUAUUGAUAAUUGAUUUUAAUUCGUCUUACGCUAAUAAGAUAAUAUGAGCAUUAAAAUAUUUUAAUUUUUCUAGACAAGACAAGUACGGAUCAAAUAAAGAAUCAAUCUUAUUAUCUGAUCUUAUUGACAACACUAGUUGUUUUAAGGGCAGCAUGGAAAAUCAUUUGACUAAAGAAAAGUUUUCAACUUUUGAACAGCCAUAUCUGCCUGGUGAAACGCCUGCCGGGUUGAAAGCAUUAAGAGAGAAAGAGCUCAGAGAUUUAAGGGGUAAUGACAAAGGUGUCCGGAAAUUAUCGGAUAGAAUAUAUGAUUUUGAUGUCUAUAAUGAUCUGGGCAAUCCUGACCGAGGAAUUGAAUUUGCUCGGCCAUCACUUGGGGGUGAUAAGAUUCCAUAUCCAAGGAGAUGUCGCACAGGACGUGUUCCAACUGAUACCGGUUAGCAAUACCAAAUCUUUUUUUUUUUUUCCACUUCAUUCAACUAUGUAGUCAGCAACUUCCAAAAGCAGAGACACGCGAAUUAGUUUUUCCCCCCCCCCCCCCAAAAACUUUUGUAUGAUCCAGAUUUGAAUGCGGAGAGCAGAGUGGAGAAGCCACUGCCCAUGUAUGUACCUAGAGAUGAACAGUUUGAGGAGUCUAAGCAAGAUGCAUACUCAACCGGAAGACUUAAGGGAGCACUUCACAACUUGUUGCCAUUGUUAAUGGCCAACAUUUCGGCUAAAAAUCAUGACUUCAAGGGGUUCUUAGACAUUGAUAGCCUCUACACUGAAGGACUACUUUUGAAGCUAGGCGUGCAGGAUGAAUUCUUGAAUAAGCUUCCAUUGCCCAAGGCAGUCAACAAAUUCCGUGACGGCGAUAUUCUCAAAUAUGGCAUUCCCAAAAUCUUAACAAGUAAGCACAUUUACAUUGGUCAGAUAGAUAUUUUAAUUUUGUAAUGUGAUAUCUAAUUAUAUGGUAACAAGCUUUUUUUAUGCAAUUGCAGAGGACAAAUUUGCAUGGUUGCGAGAUGAUGAAUUUGCCCGGCAAUCAAUAGCAGGGGUUAAUCCUGUAAGCAUUGAAAGGCUUCAGGCCUUCCCACCUGUUAGCAAGCUUGACCCUGAAAUCUAUGGCCCCUUGGAUUCAGCUCUCAAAGAUGAGCACAUCCUUGGGAAUCUCAACGGAAUGACAGUGCAAGAGGUAUCAAUCACAAUCACUUUGAAUAUCAGUCACAAUCCUUUAUAUAUAUCAGUCAUGUUCAUAACUCAUCGUGCAUGAUAAAAACAACAGUAGACAAUAGUGCAGCAGGACAACCUGUACGUGCUGUCCUCAUUCAGUUAGCCACUUUGAACUUCCUUGUCUAAUUUUAGUAUUAAAACUCGUGUUGUGUCCAUCCUUCACAGGCUUUGGAGGCGAACAAGCUAUACAUACUGGACCACCACGAUGCCUACUUACCAUUUCUUGACAGGAUUAAUGCCCUUGAUGGCCGUAAAUCAUAUGCAACACGCACCAUAUUUUUCUUGAGUGAUUUAGGCACUCUCAAACCCAUCGCUAUAGAGCUUAGCCUCCCAGCCACUGGCCCAAGUUCUCGUUCAAAGCGUGUCGUAACGCCACCGGUUGAUGCAACCACUAAUUGGAUCUGGCAGCUGGCUAAAGCCCACGUUUGCUCCAAUGAUGCUGGUGUUCACCAACUCAUCAAUCAUUGGUACGUAAAUGAAGUUUAAGAACUCGAACUGAGUUAGUAAUGAAGAUUUGAAACAGGGGAAAAUUGUUAAUCUUGCCGGUGAAUUUGAUAUAGGAAUCUAAGGAACAUUGGUUGAUUGAAUUCAGGUUGCGCACACAUGCGUCAGUGGAACCAUUUAUACUGGCGGCGCACAGGCAAAUGAGCGCAAUGCAUCCAAUAUUUAAGCUUUUGGAUCCCCAUAUGAGAUAUACGAUGGAGAUCAAUGCAUUGGCUCGCCAGGCCUUGAUCAAUGCAGACGGUAUCAUUGAGUCUUGCUUCACGCCUGGUCGUUAUUGCAUGGACAUUAGUGCCGCUGCCUACAAAAAUUUCUGGCGUUUUGAUUUAGAAGGACUCCCAGCUGAUCUCAUCAGGAGGUACCUAAAUUUAAAUAAAUAAAAAAAAAAUCUUUACCUUCAAUUUCCUAGAUGAUUAUUUGCCAGUCUGGUCAUGUGUGAAUAUUUUUGACAAAAUAUGGAGGUUUUACAUGAUUUUUGUGGGGCUUUUUGUUUGUGUAGAGGGAUGGCAGUACCGGAUCCAACGCAAACCCAUGGGCUAAAACUUGUCAUGGAGGACUAUCCGUAUGCUGCGGAUGGGUUACUGAUAUGGGCUGCAAUUGAGAGCUGGGUCCGCAAGUGUGUGAACCAUUAUUAUCCCGACCCAAGCGUCGUGUGCAAUGAUAGGGAGCUUCAAGCCUGGUAUGCGGAGUCCAUUAACGUGGGCCAUGCGGAUCUACGCAAUGCCGACUGGUGGCCCACUUUAGCCACACCUGAAGAUCUCAGCUCAAUUCUGACUACUCUCAUCUGGCUUGCAUCAGCGCAGCAUGCUGCAUUGAAUUUUGGCCAGUACCCUUACGGUGGCUACGUGCCGAACCGGCCGCCGCUCAUGCGGCGACUAAUCCCUAAUGAAAAUGAUCCAGAAUACGCAGUUUUCUUGGCUGAUCCACAAAAGUAUUUCCUCUCUGCCCUGCCGAGUUUGUUACAAGCAACAAAAUACAUGGCCGUGGUAGACACCUUAUCGACUCACUCCGCCGAUGAGGAGUACCUUGGCGAGAGGAAUCAUCCGUCGACGUGGACAGGGGAUGCGGAGGUCAUCGAAGCAUUCUAUGAAUUCUCGGCAGAGAUUGGGAGGAUAGAGAAGGAGAUUGAGGAAAGAAAUGCUGACGCAAGAUUAAGGAAUAGAUGUGGCGCUGGGGUGAUACCAUAUGAGCUUUUAGCACCUACUUCAGGACCUGGGGUAACAUGUCGAGGUGUUCCUAAUAGCGUGUCAAUAUGAGUCCAGGCAAAGU
rnacentral:lncRNA from 1 species